rnacentral:lncRNA from 1 species
UAACAUAUAUGCAAAGUUGCAUAACAAAUUUCAUGAUCCAUAUAUCAAAACUCCAUAGCAUCCAUACAUCCAAAAUUCCAAAGCAUCCAAAUAUACAUAUAGUUCCAUAGCAUCCAUACAUACAUAGCUCCAUAGCAACAAUGAUACUUUGCGGGCAUUAGUAAGUAAUAUUUGGCACUAAAACAAAUGCCUUCAUGUUCAUAUCGUAGUCCAAAGAGCAUCCGCGUGGCAAUGGGUGGGUUCAUCCUCCUGGCUGUAAUCACCGUCGACGUCCUCGUCCUCCCAUCGUCGUCCUACUGCAAUGUAAAUAAAUAGCAACACCAGAAAAUCACAAAGUAAUGACAUUUUUUACAUGGUACAGAGCAAUGACUAAUACGAUCAAAUAUCAAUAAACAUCAGCAGAGUCAAGUAUGCUUGCCAAUGUCAUUAGCAAAGUACAGAGUAAUGACUGACAUAAUCAAAAUGUCAACAAACAUCACCAGAGUCAAGUAUGCAUGCAAAUGAUAUUUUCA